rnacentral:rRNA from 1 species
UGCCAGCAGCCGCGGUAAUACGGAGGGGGCUAGCGUUGUUCGGAAUUACUGGGCGUAAAGCGCGCGUAGGCGGGCUGUUAAGUCGGGGGUGAAAUCCCGGGGCUCAACCCCGGAACUGCCUCCGAUACUGGCAGCCUAGAGGUCUGGAGAGGUGAGUGGAAUGUCGAGUGUAGAGGUGAAAUUCGUAGAUAUUCGACGGAACACCCGUGGCGAAGGCGGCUCACUGGCCAGAUACUGACGCUGAGGUGCGAAAGCGUGGGGAGCAAACAGGAUUAGAUA